UACGGAGGGAGCUAGCGUUGUUCGGAAUUACUGGGCGUAAAGCGCACGUAGGCGGCUUUGUAAGUUAGAGGUGAAAGCCUGGGGCUCAACUCCAGAAUUGCCUUUAAGACUGCAUCGCUUGAAUCAUGGAGAGGCGAGUGGAAUUCCGAGUGUAGAGGUGAAAUUCGUAGAUAUUCGGAAGAACACCAGUGGCGAAGGCGGCUCGCUGGACAUGUAUUGACGCUGAGGUGCGAAAGCGUGGGGAGCGAACAGG
rnacentral:rRNA from 1 species